rnacentral:rRNA from 1 species
CAAGUCGAACGGUAACAGGUCUUCGGAUGCUGACGAGUGGCGAACGGGUGAGUAAUACAUCGGAACGUGCCCGAGAGUGGGGGAUAACGAAGCGAAAGCUUUGCUAAUACCGCAUACGAUCUCAGGAUGAAAGCAGGGGACCGCAAGGCCUUGCGCUCACGGAGCGGCCGAUGGCAGAUUAGGUAGUUGGUGGGAUAAAAGCUUACCAAGCCGACGAUCUGUAGCUGGUCUGAGAGGACGACCAGCCACACUGGGACUGAGACACGGCCCAGACUCCUACGGGAGGCAGCAGUGGGGAAUUUUGGACAAUGGGCGCAAGCCUGAUCCAGCCAUGCCGCGUGCAGGAUGAAGGCCUUCGGGUUGUAAACUGCUUUUGUACGGAACGAAAAGACUCUGGUUAAUACCUGGGGUCCAUGACGGUACCGUAAGAAUAAGCACCGGCUAACUACGUGCCAGCAGCCGCGGUAAUACGUAGGGUGCGAGCGUUAAUCGGAAUUACUGGGCGUAAAGCGUGCGCAGGCGGUUAUGUAAGACAGAUGUGAAAUCCCCGGGCUCAACCUGGGAACUGCAUUUGUGACUGCGUAGCUAGAGUACGGCAGAGGGGGAUGGAAUUCCGCGUGUAGCAGUGAAAUGCGUAGAUAUGCGGAGGAACACCGAUGGCGAAGGCAAUCCCCUGGGCCUGUACUGACGCUCAUGCACG